GCAGAAAGUGACCUCAAGUGUAAUGGUAGCAAUUACACCACCAAAGACAGAGGUUUUUUGCUUGUCCGACACCAAUGAUGGCUCUACCUGGACCUGCCAACCACUCCUGUGUCUCCACCCAGAAGCACUUCAGCCAGCAGGAGGAUAAUUUCCUAUAUCCCUAUGACUGCUCCCCCAACUAAUCAGCGGGUUACACUUAUUUCCUGCAUAUAAACCCCCAAUUUUAAUCAGUCAUGGAGAUGGAUUUGAGACUGAUCUCCCAUCUCUUCAGCUGCAGCACCUGAUUAAAGCCUUCUUCCCUGAAAAUACUUGUUGGCUCAGUGAUUGGCUUUCUGUCUGAUGAACAACAGGACCUAGACAGGACCACUCGUGUUUUGAUCUCAGCACCCGUAUAUAAGAACAGAGUCAGUUUUGCUUGGCUUUGGAGGAGAAUUUGAAUGAAAAUGCAGAAGGACAUGUCUCUUCCCAAUUAUGCACUCUGGACUCUAUGAACAGAUGACAGACCACACAGUCAUUUAAGUCUCUAAGAGUUCAGCAGAGAGAGAAAUCACUAUGAACUGGCAUGUGGAAGAAUGGGGAAGAGUGACCUGGACCUUCA